rnacentral:rRNA from 1 species
AACGAACGCUGGUGGCAUGCCUAAUACAUGCAAGUCGAAACGAGAAAGCACUUCGGUGUGAGUACAGUGGCGCACGGGUGAGUAACGCGUAGAUGACGUGCCUAUUAGUGGGGGACAACAUCGGGAAAACCCGUGCUAAUACCGCAUAUUCAAGACGACAUUGAAAAAGUUUUGCAAAGGGGCUUCGGUCCCGCUAGUAGAUCGGUCUGCGUGACAUUAGCUUGUUGGUGGGGUAAUGGCCUACCAAGGCGACGAUGUCUAGCUGGUCUGAGAGGAUGAUCAGUCACACUGGAACUGAGACACGGUCCAGACUCCUACGGGAGGCAGCAGUAGGGAAUAUUGCGCAAUGGGGAAACCCUGACGCAGCAAUGCCACGUGAGUGAGGAAGGCUCUAGGGUCGUAAAGCUCUGUCCUAUAGGAAGAACGGCUUUGGGUAACGCCAAAGUUUGACGGUACUAUAGAAGAAAGCACCGGCUAACUCCGUG